rnacentral:rRNA from 1 species
CAGUCGUACCGGCGGAUAAUCAGCCUUUCGGGUGCGAUUCUGUGAGGCGUGAGGAGCUUGACCGCCUUCAUGUUUUGCAUAUUCGUGCACAUUUGGUGUACUUGUCCGUGUGGUGGGUUAACAUCAAUUUCGGUCGUCAUAAAAUGAUUGGAGGAAUGUAGCUUUGGUCUCGUAUCGAAGUGUUAUAGACUCUGGUAGAUGUGACGACUGGGAUUGGAGGAUCGCAACGGAUACCCC